rnacentral:rRNA from 1 species
CGUGGGUAACCUGCCCAAGAGAUCGGGAUAACACCUGGAAACAGAUGCUAAUACCGGAUAACAACAGAUGAUGCCUAUCAACUGUUUAAAAGAUGGUUCUGCUAUCACUCUUGGAUGGACCUGCGGUGCNUUAGCUAGUUGGUAGGGUAACGGCCUACCAAGGCGAUGAUGCAUAGCCGAGUUGAGAGACUGAUCGGCCACAUUGGGACUGAGACACGGCCCAAACUCCUCGGGAGGCAGCAGCC